CAAAAAUUAAUGCCCAACCACCAAAAGAUAAAUCCAUAAAACAAGGAAUGUUUUGUGGAGCACUAGUCAAAAGGUAAAGCCAUAAAACAAGGAAUGUUUUGUGGAAUGCUUUAUGCCAUGUUUUAUGGAAAUGCUUGUCUUCUAUGCAUACACAUGGAGUAUACACAUGGUGACAUGCUUCAACAACUAUAAAAGGAAUGCAAGGAUGAAGGCAAACGCAAUUCCAACAACUAAGAGCAUAACUACAACAAAGAGUGAGAGUAUUUUCAUAGUGAGAGAAAAUCCUAGUGUGAGGGAAAAAUAUCUGUGAAAGAUACUCUUGGGUGUAGUUGGGUUGUGGGUUUGUGAGAGAGUGUGAGUGUUUUGUAAACACAGUGUACAUUUCUCAUUUCAGUAAAAAGUCUGCAGCAGCCCGGAGACGUAGGCAUUAUUGGCCGAACUCCGUUAUCAAUUUUGUGUGUGCUAUUAUUCCGCAUUUUAUUGCUUCCACCAAUCUGACCAUGGGGAAAUUUUGCGUAGUUUCCUAACAUCUUUAUACCACCUAAAGAUUUUCACUAGGUUGGAUAAUAGGUCGUCAGACCUAUCUUUGAUCAAGGAGGGGUCUCGUAUGAAUUGUUGGGCUAUGGUGAAGAUGAGGGUAUUGACAGCAUCAGAGGUAUAUUCCCCAUCUUCUCAUCUGAUGGGGUUAAUCUCAUCAUCAUGCUUGGUGACUGACCGAAUUUGGAGUCUUUCAUCAUCAGUGAGAUAGUUAUCCCACCCACCUUUGAGUUGAGCGAGGUAUGAAUGUAUAUAUGCGUGCCAAGUUUCAAGAAAUGACCGAAUGAAGAAAGUUUCUAGUGUCGGCGCGCUUGUUUCUCCAUCUUCUACUUGUUGUAUUACAUUUUGCCGACUAUAUCUGGCUAUUACAAGCAAUAUAAAUGCUGCAAAGGAGGGGGAGGGGGGGAAUACAUCAUAAGAUUCAAAUAUCACAAAGUUGCCAAAUGUGCAUGGCAAUUAAGCUGUCCAGGCCUUAACACAGGACUGAUAACUGUGCAGUGUAUACCACGGAAAUAUGUAAGCAGAGCAGAACUCUGUCUUCAGCAAACGCUGGUUGAUCUUCUCGAUUUGGUGGGUCGACGAAUUUUAGUUGGUCCCGUUCUCCCCUUCAUUUCCUCUUUUGCAUGGUACAUUGACCUUGCUGAAGGUGAACGCGCUUCAUUUUUAGAGAAAUUCUGGCAUGUCACAACGAAGUGGAACUAGAUUAAUCAUGCUGGAGCAGGGUAUGAGGAUGAUGAUGAUGAGGCAAUUCAUGUGCUUCUCUGCCAAUGAUCGUGUUUCUCUGCACUGGUAUUUGCAUAUCUUGCUGUGGUUAUGAAGCUGUGAUAUUUGCUAUUUCCUACUUGUUGUGAUCCUUGCUGAUUGGUAUACUGAAGCCUAGCUCGUGGCUUUCUAUAAUGGAGUGGAAUUGGUUGAAUGCUGUACUCUUUUGAAUGCUAUGCCCCCAUAAUUAUUUUCUUUUUCUGCUACUUGUAAUGCUUUCUGUUCUGUAACUGUUUCUUUUCAUUUUGCUGACCUUGUGAUCCUUUGUGUGGAUCUUUGGUGUUGCGCCUUGUACUGGUUCUUUGAGCUAUCUUUUUGCUCUUGGUUACCUUUCCUUAUCAAUAAAGAUUUUGCUUUCAAAAACAAAAAAUGAUUUGGAAAUAAUUCAAUUUCAACCAUUCAUAAUAAAAUUUUCUGCCUUUAAGCCAAGUAUUAAGAGGCAUAGGUUAUGUGAUUUGUGAUUUUUUAGAUGAUGUUGUUCUUGUUGUUGUUGUGUAUCUGUAUGAUGUGUAAAAUUCUUUCGUAGGAGAUUAUGAUCAUGAUAUUGUAGAUUUACUUUAACCAAUCAUGUAAAAGAUUUGAACAUCCUGCUUUGGGAGGCACUUUGAUUACAAUCUUGUUUAUGAAUUUUUGCACUUGGAAAUUUUGUAAUCUCAGAUGAUGCUUAGCUUAAAUGUUGUGUACUUGUGUUACCAUAUAUUGCUACUUCUCCCCCUUCAACAAGAGUUAAACUGCUGAUUUAACUCAUGCCUUGUUUUUUUUUUUUGCUCUUUCUUUUGUAUAAAUCUAACUAUUUUUACCGUUGUGUUCAUAUGAAAAAUUUGAACCCCCUGACCCCGGGGUCCUGGAUCCGCCACUGAUAGCAGGCAUGGCAGUCACAUAGGAACAUGCAAAGAUUUAUUUUCAUCUUUACUUACUAAAAAUCACAAAAGUCUAUGCAAACAGCUUUUUACAAUUCAAAGACUAAGGUUAUGUUUGUACCUGGUUGGUGAAGGAACCAGGUCGAGAGAUAUGCGAAUAGGCUCUAUAGUUCCAUUUUCACCGAUGCAAGCCAGGCCAGAAGAGGUUCCAGACCUGCUCCAAUCAGAGGAACGGUGGUGGUGGCGGUGGUGGUGAGAGGUGGUGGCAGUUGAAGGUGAAGAAUCCAUGAAUGCAAGUGAGUGAUGAGUGUUUGGUAAGAAUGGGAUGAGUGUUGUUGAGUUAGAUUCUGUUGUUUAUUAUUGAAUGAGUUUUGUAGACAUUUGUUUUUGGGUGUUGUAGCCGUUGGAGAAAGGCGGCAUUCUAAAUCUAGUGGUGCUGGAAUGGGACCCCAUGCUUCAACGGUUAUUGCUACAAAAUACAAAUACAAAUGAUUCCUUUUAGAUACAUUUUUCAUGUGGUAAUCAAAUUACUAUCUAGUUUAAUAU